rnacentral:rRNA from 1 species
UACAGAGGUCUCGAGCGUUAGUCGGAAUCACUGGGCUUAAAGCGUGCGUAGGCGGAUGUGCAGGCGUCGUGUGAAAGCCCUCGGCUCAACCGGGGGAAUUGCACGGCGAACCGCACGUCUCGAGACAAGUAGGGGCGGGUCGGAACGAUAGGUGGGAGUGGUGAAAAUGCGUUGAUAUCUAAUCGGAACGCCAAAGGUGAAGACAGGCCGCUGGGCUUGUUCUGACGCUGAUGCACGAAAGCGUGGGGAGCAAACGGG